ensembl:lncRNA LINC01905 long intergenic non-protein coding RNA 1905
GGGUCUGGAACAUAGUAAGUCCUCAAUAAGUUCUAGCAAUUAUUAAAAAAGGAAAGGCUGUCUGCAAACAGGUGAUCUCAGAAGGGGGUUUGUGCCUCUCUAGGAAGGAAGCCUCAUUGUGGACAUCUGGGAGCAGGUACAUCCCAGCCUUCUUGCACAUAGAAACACUACACAGCACUUCAGCUGUAUGUUUGGGGGCCAUUUUAAACAGCAAAAUCAUCAACAGGAAGCAGAAAAUUGUAAAAAUUGUGGCACUAAAUAGACCAUGUAAAGGACACAUGUUUGCAAUAAGAAAGCUGAAACAAGAAGGGGGAGUGUCACCUUAUUUGAUCCAGCUAGAAACUCAGGUGCUGGUAUUCCAGCAACACUCAGGCGGCUGCUCCAGGAGGCUGCAGAGGGGUCCUUUUUAGCCGUCAACAAAACUGGCUAUGGUCACGCCCAUUGGGAAACUCAUUGCUGCCUUCAAGGUUCUGUCAAUAGAAGAUACUAAAGAAAGAAAGCCAGGAGAAGAAAAGGGACUUCUUUCUUCAAGGUCUAAGCUGUUCUAAUAGCAUUAUUCUGGGAAUGGCAUCUUCCACUCCUCCUAGUACAAAGAACCUGCUUCCUCAUACCCCGUCAAGGAACUGCAGCAUCCAGGUGAUGGCCACAGUGGCAGAACCUAGGAAGCCAAGAAGAAACCAGAGAAUGGAGACACAUGGCAGCAAUGGCAAGUCAUCAGACCCAGGAUUUCCCAAAGAACACUGGUCCAGGAAGAUGCUCUGUGAAAAAGUGUUCCCUGGUCGGAGAAAUUUGUGAAACACUUUGCAUAAUACUUAAAAGAAUGUAUGGCACAUCAAAGAUCUUAUAACAGUCUCCGCAGGAAGCAGCUGCAGUCAUUAGCCAUAGGACAGACUAAACACACAAUCUGCAUGGAAGGAGGCCUGGAUCAGCUUGGUCUUUCAGAUCUCUAAUCUCAGGCACAGGAAAGCACCAUCAACAGCACCCUUUGUAUAUAUACAUAAAGGUAAUUUAACUUCUCUGAGAUGGAGUUUUUCAUCUGUAAAAUAUGGAUAAUCAUACCUACUUAUGGGGCAACUUUUGAAGAUGAAAUAAAGUAAUAUGUUUAAAAGGCACUUUAAAAAUGGUAAAGUACUACUACUACUAAAAGGGUUAUAAUGAUUUCCAUGAAGAGGAAAACAAGUAAUAAAUAAUUAAGCUGACAUCAAUAAAUGAUUUUUGAAGAGAA